CAGUAGCCGCGGUAAUACGUAUGUCACGAGCGUUAUCCGGAUUUAUUGGGCGUAAAGCGCGUCUAGGUGGUUAUAUAAGUCUGAUGUGAAAAUGCAGGGCUCAACUCUGUAUUGCGUUGGAAACUGUAUAACUAGAGUACUGGAGAGGUAAGCGGAACUACAAGUGUAGAGGUGAAAUUCGUAGAUAUUUGUAGGAAUGCCGAUGGGGAAGCCAGCUUACUGGACAGAUACUGACGCUCAUGCACGAAAGCGUGGGGAGCAAACAGGAUUAGAUACCCCAGUAGUCCCUGUCUCUUAUACA
rnacentral:rRNA from 1 species